rnacentral:rRNA from 1 species
CCGGCAACGCUGGCGGCGUGCCUGGUACAUGCUACCUCGAGGCGGAUCGAAUGGGAGCUUGCUCCCUGAGAUCAGCGGCGGACGGGUGAGUAACACGUGGGUAACCUGCCUGUAAGACUGGGAUAACUCCGGGAAACCGGGGCUAAUACCGGAUAACACCUACCCCCGCAUGGGGGAAGGUUGAAAGGUGGCUUCGGCUAUCACUUACAGAUGGACCCGCGGCGCAUUAGCUAGUUGGUGAGGUAAUGGCUCACCAAGGCGACGAUGCGUAGCCGACCUGAGAGGGUGAUCGGCCACACUGGGACUGAGACACAGCCCAAACUCCUACGGGAGGCAGCAGUAGGGAAUCUUCCGCAAUGGACGAAAGUCUGACGGAGCAACGCCGCGUGAGUGAAGAAGGUUUUCGGAUCGAGAAACUCUGUUGUUAGGGAAGAACAAGUGCCGUUCGAAUAGGGCGGCGCCUUGACGGUACCUAACCAGAAAGCCACGGCUAACUACGUGCCAGCAGCCGCGGUAAUACGUAGGUGGCAAGCGUUGUCCGGAAUUAUUGGGCGUAAAGCGCGCGCAGGUGGUUUCUUAAGUCUGAUGUGAAAGCCCACGGCUCACCGUGAGGGUCAUUGGAAACUGGGGAACUUGAGUGCAGAAGAGGAAAGUGAAUUCCAAGUGUAGCGGUGAAAUGCGUAGAUAUUUGGAGGAACACCAGUGCGAAGGCGACUUUCUGGUCUGUAACUGACACUGAGGCGCGAAAGCGUGGGGGAGCAACAGAUAAGAUACCCUGUAGUCCACGCCGUAACGAUGAGUGCUAAGUGUAGAGGGUUUCCGCCCUUUAGUGCUGCAGCUAACGCAUUAGCACUCCGCCUGGGGAGUACGGUCG